AUUGAACGCUGGCGGCAUGCCUUACACAUGCAAGUCGAACGGCAGCGCGGGGCAACCUGGCGGCGAGUGGCGAACGGGUGAGUAACAUAUCGGAACAUACCCUAGAGUGGGGGAUAACGUAGCGAAAGUUACGCUAAUACCGCAUACGCACUAAGGUGGAAAGUGGGGGAUUCGCAAGAACCUCAUGCUCAUGGAGUGGCCGAUAUCUGAUUAGCUAGUUGGUGAGGUAAAGGCUCACCAAGGCGACGAUCAGUAGCUGGUUUGAGAGAACGACCAGCCACACUGGAACUGAGACACGGUCCAGACUCCUACGGGAGGCAGCAGUGGGGAAUUUUGGACAAUGGGGGGCAACCCUGAUCCAGCAAUGCCGCGUGAGUGAAGAAGGCC
rnacentral:rRNA from 1 species